rnacentral:rRNA from 1 species
GACGUAGGGUGCGAGCGUUGUCCGGAUUUAUUGGGCGUAAAGAGCUCGUAGGCGGCUCGUCGCGUCGACCGUGAAAACCCGCAGCUUAACUGCGGGCUUGCGGUUGAUACGGGCGGGCUAGAGUUCGGUAGGGGAGACUGGAAUUCCUGGUGUAGCGGUGAAAUGCGCAGAUAUCAGGAGGAACACCGGUGGCGAAGGCGGGUCUCUGGGCCAUACUGACGCUGAGGAGCGAAAAGCGUGGGGGAGCGAACAGGAUUAGAAA